GACGAACGCUGGCGGCGUGCCUAACACAUGCAAGUCGAGCGAGUGGAGUUCUUCGGAACAAAGCUAGCGGCGGACGGGUGAGUAACACGUGGGCAACCUGCCUCAUAGAGGGGAAUAGCCUCCCGAAAGGGAGAUUAAUACCGCAUAAGAUUGUAGCUUCGCAUGAAGUAGCAAUUAAAGGAGCAAUUCGCUAUGAGAUGGGCCCGCGGCGCAUUAGCUAGUUGGUGAGGUAACGGCUCACCAAGGCGACGAUGCGUAGCCGACCUGAGAGGGUGAUCGGCCACAUUGGGACUGAGACACGGCCCAGACUCCUACGGGAGGCAGCAGUGGGGAAUAUUGCACAAUGGGGGAAACCCUGAUGGAGCAACGCCGCGUGCAGGAUGAAGGCCUUCGGGUUGUAAACUGCUUUUGUCUGUGACGAAUAUGACGGUAGCAGACGAAUAAGGAUCGGCUAACUACGUGCCAGCAGCCGCCGUAA
rnacentral:rRNA from 1 species